CCAACUUGUCUCGCAUCUCAAUCGAAUGUAGUGGCACUAUACAUGUGCUGUAUUCACCCCCAUUUUAGAUCGAACAUAUUUGAGCAGUAAAAAGUGCUGGCGUUAGCAAAAAUGUGCGUACCAUGUGCGUUUACCAUCGUGCUGAUAUACAUGCAUUUAACUGACGAGAACCCACGAAGAAAUGAUCCUGUAUCUGAAUUUGAGACAAGCUGAAUGCCAUAUCUUCUCUAUAAUGAAAUAAACAAGAAAUAGGCCAACAUGAAGGAAGGGCAAUUGGAACUAUGAGUGUGUACUUCGGAAAACUGUCCUGUUCAGAGACAAGCUGAAAGUCAUCAUGUCCAACAACGCAUAGCAGUAUCAUAUUCUGCGCAUGUACAACCAUGGUUGAUCUUGUCAUACUUCCUACCAAGUUCACCGAUGAAACUAUUGGCCAUCUUCUUGGCUUCAGCUUCUGGUUAUUCAUUCAAAACAAACUUACAGGUUUUGGUCCUCUUGAUUGCUGCUUCAUCAACAGGAAAACCAGAAUUCACCUCACAGUCUAAUCCAGUUGCGAUUCCACCCAGCGGAAAGAGGGAUCCAUAGACCAUCUGAAAUUGCUGGGCUGCCAUCUUUCUUGAUCCUGCAUCGAAUACAAAACGAUUUUUGUUCGUGGUAGCAGUCAGCAAGUUUUAAGCUGUAAUGUGAUACUUUGUUGAGCUGUUUUGGAUAUAAAGCUAGAGCUUGGGGACAUCAAUGAAUCCGUGAACGUCGACGAGUUUAGGAACGGAUUCAUCGGCGUGGUGGCAGGGGACACAUCCUCGUUUUAGAAUGUUCAAUAAUUCAAAAGUAAAAUCUUACAAAAAGAUAUGAGAGGCAACAGAAGCACUAGCCUUUUAAGAAUAAAAAAUCGAAAGUAGCCAUAGAAAACCCUGAUUCCUACACACGACCACGUGUGUGCCUCCUUUUUCUGCUCUACGUGAAAUUUAAAGAAGACCUUAUGAUUAUGAAGAAAAUGUCGCAAAGAUAAUAAAAUCCUUACUUACCGCUC